rnacentral:lncRNA from 1 species
GUUUGGAGCUAGUUGUUUUCCACUUCUCAAGGUGACAACACUCGCAGUACGUCUUGGAUUAGUGUUAGUUUUCCUUGGAAGAAAUCCUUCUUCCCUUUUGAAAGAAUCAACAGUUUGUGCAACCUGAUUAUCCAACAUGUUGACGUGGUCACUUAAGGAUUUAAACUUCUUUGUCAACUCGGAGUAUAUGGAACCUAUGUUCCAAUCGAAGUAGACAUCCAUCUUCUGCUGUCCUACAAAGACUUGAUUUAUUUUUGAUUCUGAUUUAGAACUACGUGAAUUCAUGUUUUCUUCUCGCUUAUCAAACUACUGACUUUAAAAAGGGAACUGGUUGACAUCUUCUUCUUCUUCAUGCGAGGAAGUCUUAGCUUCAUCAGCUGGCUGGAAUC